ACGAACGCUGGCGGCGUGCUUCACACAUGCAAGUCGAGCGGUAAGGCCCUUCGGGGUACCCGAGCGGCGAACGGGUGAGUAACACGUGAGUAAUCUGCCCAUCACUUCGGGAUAACUCCGGGAAACCGGUGCUAAUACCGAAUAUGACCACUUCAGGCAUCUGAUGGUGGUGGAAAGUUCCGGCGGUGAUGGAUGAGCUCGCGGCCUAUCAGCUUGUUGGUGGGGUAGUGGCCUACCAAGGCUUCGACGGGUAGCCGGCCUGAGAGGGUGACCGGCCACACUGGGACUGAGACACGGCCCAGACUCCUACGGGAGGCAGCAGUGGGGAAUAUUGGACAAUGGGCGAAAGCCUGAUCCAGCAACGCCGCGUGAGGGAUGACGGCCUUCGGGUUGUAAACCUCUUUCAGCAGGGACGAAGCGCAAGUGACGGUACCUGCAGAAGAAGCACCGGCCAACUACGUG
rnacentral:rRNA from 1 species